rnacentral:lncRNA from 1 species
CAGUCCUGCAUUAGACACUGUGAUUCAGCCAUGAACUAGAAGGCAAAGUUCUGGCCAACAGAAAGCUCACAUUCCAGGACUGCAGUCUUUCCUUAGUCACAGAGGCGUCCAUGUCCUCAGUCUGCCCACUAUGCACCUAUUAACUCAUCAGAUCUGCAUCUCUAGAUUCAUCUCCUCUAUGCCAGGUAUUAUACCAGUCAACACUUUAUGUAUUUCAUCCUCAUGACAACUCCACAUGAUCAGAUCAAGUGCUCAGUUGGUUCUUCCUCCCUGUGUCCCCCAAACCAUCCAGGAGCAGGGGCUUGAAAGAUUUACAACACUUUACACUACUUCAACAGCUAUUUUAGUCCUUAGAUUUUAUUGCCCCAACCAUGGUCUCCUUGGGAACAGACUGAAUCUGGAUCCAGAAGUGGCUGCUGAGGGAGAAGGUAGACAAGGUAGACCAAGAGCAACUAAGUUACGAAAGCAUUUCAAGGAUGGAGUGAUCAACUGGACCAAAUGACACUGAGAGAUUAAGAAAAGAUGUAAUUCACAUUGGAUUGGUGGUAUGAUGGUUAUUCAGGGAAAGGUCAAGAUGAUUAUUGUGAAAAGUUUGGGAAUUUUUUUUUACUUUAAGUUCUGGGAUACAUAUGCAGAAUGUGCAGGUUUGUUACAUAGGUAUACAGGUGCCAUGAUGGUUUCUGCACCUAUCAACCCGUCAUCUAGGUUUUAAGCCCCACAUUAUUAGCUAUUUAUCCUGAUGCUAUCCCUCCCCUUGUCCCUCACCCUGCAACAGGCCCCGGUGUGUGAUAUUCCCCUCCCUGUGUCCAUGUGUUCUCACUGUUCAACUCCCACUUAUGAGUGAGAACAUGCAGUGUUUGGUUUUCUGUUCCUGUGUUAGUUUGCUGAGAAUGAUGGUUUCCAGCUUCAUCCAUGUCCCUGCAAAGGACAUGAACUCAUUCCUAUUUACGGCUGCAUAGUAUUCCAUGGUGUAUCUGUGCCACAUUUUCUUUAUCCGGUCUAUCAUUGAUGGGCAUUUGGGUUGGUUCCAUAACUAAAGGAAAAAGUGGACUCAUAAGAGAAGUUAAUUUUAAAAUAGAAAACUGGAAUGUUUGCCUGCUGAUGGGAGUGAUCCAAUAGAGAAAAUUAGUGCAAAAAAUGUGGAUAAACAAAAGCACUUAUACAUCAGGUAUAUAAGAUUGUUCUGUUCAAUGAUGUUUUGCUAUAACCUCGAUGAGAAAAAAAAAUCAAUUCCCCAGCCAUGGCCAUUUUCUGUGUGAAGUUUGCGUGUUCUCUUCAUGUCUGCAUUGGUUUCCUCCCACAUCCCAAAGCCGUGCCACUGGCAUCCCAUUGGCAUGUCUGAAUUGUCCCAGUAUGAGUGGUGUGGGUGUGUGUGAGGGUUCUCUGCGAUGAGAUGGCAUCCUGUUCGGGACUGGUUCUUACCUGAACCUCCAGGACAGGCUCCACAGUAGGUCACCACCUACAAUCUUGAACUGGAACAGUUGGGCAAGUAAUUAUCUGACUUGUUUGUAUUAAUCUUUCUUAAAAGUGUAGCUCACAUUUAUUUCAUUGUUUAAUAUUGGAAGUGUUUUGGUCUUUAUUUUGAAGGUUGGGUGAUGAUUUUGUGACCAGAAAUAUGCUGUAGGAAAUUAACUCUAGUUUAUUUCAAUUAGCCUAUGUUAAGUUGAUUUCCUUUUACAUCGUUUCACUUACAAUCGUAGCUUCCAAGAACCUAUCAAUGACAUUAAGUGAAGACUAUUUGUAUAUGCCGAGUUGUCAGUCUCUGCCGAUAGAAUAGGGGAAGGAAGUUAAGGAAUGAAGCCCACAAAUUCCUUCUUCAUCUCUCAAACUUGAGAAAGGGCUGCCCAUUAGUCCUCCUUGAUCAACUAAGUUUGAACUGUCUGCAAUAUCCUUGCCCUAUUCGACCCCCAGUAUGAACUAAGUGGAUAUGUAAGAUCUUACCUAUUUUUUCUGUGCCUGUUCAUUUUGUCUCAAAACAAAAACAAAGUGAAGGCUCAUUAAUGAGAAAUCAAUGAAACAAUAAUUGAUCACACACCUUUAACAGCUGCCUCCUCUUAACAAAUCAUCAUAUAUCUAACCCCAAGCCCAAACCACCACCACCGCAUAUGGCUCUGUUAUCCCUGUGUAGGUUCCUAGGCUAUAGGUCUCGGGUCUCCUAAGUCCAGCCCAUUCUAUGACCUUUUCAUUUCCACCUAUGUGACAAUAUAGAGUAGAUGCCUCUAUUCCCAACUUGGAAGUAAAGAAAAUCCUGAAAUGCCAGAAUUGAUAAGAGAGAUAUGAUAAAAGCAAUUUAAAGCAAAAUUUCAGAAGAAGAGAAAAGAACUUGGCUAAAACCUAAUUAGUAAUUUCAACAUUAUUUCAAAAAAAGAAUGUGAUACAAUUCCCAGACAGUGUGUGCCAUGGAACCCUGGGAAGGCACAGCAAACUCAUAUGGGUGCAGAGGGGUAUUUUAAAUUUUAGAGGAAACCAGCAAUUUGUCAGAAACAAUGUCAACUGCUAGUUCCUGGAGAUCCACACUUUCAACAAUAAACAUUGCUACAUUCUUUUUGAUGAUGUCAUAUCUUUGCAAACUUGGUUUUUAUGCAGUAGCUCUGAUAAAAAACAAUUGCUUUGUGAAAAUCACUGUGGGACAGAAAAUGAGAGUGGCAGUGUCCAAUCUGAUUCUGAGGUUUGAGAAAGUGCACGGUAUCCAACAGAUACACACAUUCUAUUAGCGUGUAAUUGAGGUCAUUUAAAAAUGAAAUACAUUUUUUUUUUCAAAAAAAAAAAGAAAAGUAUGUGAUCAUCAAAAAGAGGGUUACUGUCUCUGGGGCAUGGAACCAUGGAAGUCAAUGGGUAAAUGUUAGUGUUUGUUCCAUAAUGGGACCAAGGAAUCCAGCCAUUCAGUCCUGACAGCUGGUAUAUCCCUAAGGUAGAGCUGAGCAUUUAGCCAUCUUAGCCUGACAUCAUUAAAGACUUGAGCCACACUCUGUACCCAAUAAAUACAUCAUAAAUCCCGUCAUAAAUCAACUUCUCAUGUUAAUUUAUCUGCAGAAGACAAUACUGUUCUCAGAGUAAGAUAGGAUUUUCUACCACUGGCAUUAUGAAUUAACUAAUUGUCGUUCUUAUUUAUAUGUCCAUGCCCUAUGAGCUGGAUUAGAGUGAGAUUUGCCCUGUGGGAUGGUACACUGCACCCCAGAGCAUUGACAUAAUCAGUUGGCUACAUUUACGGAGUUCAGGGUCAAGGAACAGAACUUCUGGGCUUGGGAAAGUAAUAUACUGCAUGUAUAUGUGUGUGUAUAUAUAUAUGUGUGUAUGCAUGUAUAUAUUUAUGUUGUUACGUGUGUGUAUAUAUAUAUAUGUUGUUACGCAUAUAUAUGUAUGUAUGUGUGUGUGUAUAUAUAUAUAUGUUGUUACGUAUAAGAGACCACCUGAGAAGGCUUAGUGUGAGCAACAAGGCUGUUUAUUCACUUGGGUGCAAGUGGGCUGAGUCCGAGAAAGGAGUCAUCGAAGGGUCGUGGGAUUAUCAUUGGUUCUUACAGGUUUGGGAUAGGCGGUGGAGUUAGAAGCAAUUUUUUUUGUGGGCAGGGGAUGGAUGUUACAAAGUACAUUCUCAAGGGCACGGAGGAUGUUACAAACUACAUUCACAAGGGCAGGGAGGGUGUAUUGUCACAAGGGUGGGGAGGAAUGUUACACAGUACAUUCACAAGGGCGCAGGAACGUCACGAUGGCUUGAUUGUGGUGCGGCCAGCUCAGAGGACCUUACAUAUAUGUGUGAGUGUAUGUAUAUAUAUGUGUGUGUGUAUGUGUGUUUUGUGUGUGUUUAUAUAUGUGUGUGUGUAUAUACACACAUAAAACACACACACUAAACACACACAUACCUGUAACACAUACAAAAAUACAUAUAUACACAUACAUACAUAUAAAUAUAUACACACAUAUUAAAGUGCCUAAUACUUCUGCACAGUCUGAGAGAGAGUUUUUUCCCAAGUAUACCAGUGUCGGACUAUUUUGAUAAUCUGUACUUUGCAGAGUGGUCCAUUUAAUCCUCAUGUAAUUCUGUAAAGUAGGCACCAGACACAUUUUACAGAUGUGAUGAGAAGUAAUGCAAUUUGCACA